rnacentral:lncRNA from 1 species
AGGGAUCUCAAGAAUCCAUGAUAGGGCCAAGAUGGAGUGUCCUAUCUAUACCACCCAUCACACAGAACAUUGAAAUGCAUCUAUAUUAGUGGUGAGAAGAGAGGCGGCCUGGGGGUGACCUUGAAAUAAAAAAGAAGCAUAUGGAAAUAAGCCUAGGGCUCUCAAAUUCUGGAUCUAAAAAGCAACAAAGAGAAUCUCAGUGGUUGAUGUGUCGGAAAUAGAAAGUGAAUGAGUUUGAGAUUUUAUAUAUAUAUAUGCAAAUAAUAACAAAUUGUCAGUUUUCUCUGACAAAAGUUUUAAUUCUGCUUCAUGGCUUUAAACAUAUGCAGUAUAUCUAGCUUCGACUUAGAAUAUAGAAAGCUGGAAGGAAUAUUGUUUCCACCCUUACAAUAAACACAACAAAAACAUGCUGGAUUGUCUAUUAAAUUACAACUUUCUUCAACCUACUAGAUUGCUGAGGACAAGAAAACAAACUGAAGAAAAAGAACCUCCAGGGAGACAAGGAGGCAAGCAUUUGUGGGAGAAGAUACAGCUGAUGACAAGAAGUUUGCUAAAUUUCGAGUAAAUAAUUGAGGCCAAGGGUGGGCAAGUGUGAGAGUAUAGAAACCCUCAGCACCCUUUUCUCAUGGACCUCUUGAGAAAUAUGGGAACACAGCGAGACGCAGAAGCAAACUUCCUUUGUGGUGAAAGUGUAAGGGAGAGAACAGUGGUGCCCACAGGCAAAGCUUCACUAAAGUCCUUCACUCCUAUCGCUCCUAUGGUACAAAACAAAAAGCUGGUCCAGGAAGGCUUGCAAAGCUGUUCUUCCCAUGGAAAAUCUAUGGCAGUUGUGGUAAGGGAAGACUGAGGGAGGGAGUCAGAGAGAGGAAGAAAAUAAGGAAGAAGUCUACUUUUGGAGAAAGACAAGAAGCAUCCAGAUUGUUAGACAUUCUUCUGGCCAGACCUACUGAGAAAAGGGUACUGCACCUACUUAAGACUGUGGUGAACCAAACAUUUCUUGGAAGAAAACAGCUUUUUCCCAUCUCUAGUACUUUUCAUUUCAACAAGAAUUUCAUAGAAAAGCAUCCUUUUGAAAGUAUGUUCCUGGCGCAACUGGCAAUAUAUCAUCUCUAUAUUCAAUAUAUAAUUCAAGAUAAAAUCAAAUAUAGGUCAGGAUGAUUAUUUUUGAAAUGUAUACCAAUCAAUGUAUUGGAAUAAAGACAUAACUUCUACCUUUGAUAACCUGGAAAUAUUUUUUGAGACACAUAGUUUUGGAUGUCAAAGGAAGAGAAAAAAUGUUAGAGGCAGCUAUGAGGAUGCGACAAGGAAUCCAGGCCAAGUUUUCAGGCAGGAAUAUGAAAGGGGUGAUUAACGAAUCAUGAGCAGACCGACUUGACUAACCCAUAAAGGUGAUGGCUACUUAACAGGCCUGGAAGCAGAUGAGGUGUAGUCUCAAACCAGCUUAAGUAUUGGGGGGCGAUGGGGACAAUAUUGAGCACAUACUUAUUAAAUAAUAGGAAAGUGUCAGUUAUGCCUUUGGUGGCCAGGGCAAAAAGAGAUUGGCAACAGGGGGAUUUUCAUGAAGCUCUUCUACAAAUGCUAUCUGUGGGUUUGUUCAAAGCUUGAGCUCAAACAAGGUCAUAGAUGUAGAAAGGAGCGCACCUGUGUAAGGGGGAUCUACUGGAGCAUUCAUGCCCCAACCUAACAGUGUGCAAAACACAUUGUGCACUCUCCACAAGAACAGUGACAUGUUUGAAGAAUACUCAUUCAUUUUUUAAAUAUAUUGAUUAUCCUUCAGAGUCACAGUUAGGAAAAUGUAUGCAGUCUUAAUCUUGAGAUCUAAAGACCAGAAGAGUAAAUGCAAAUUUUACUAACGCAAUAUAUUUUGCCAUAAAAUUUACCAUAAAAUGAUCAUUCCACACUCUUCAUCUCAUGUGGAUCAUAUAAGCCAACAUGUUUUUAUCAAAACUCCCAUUAUUAUAUUAUUAUUGACAUUAUUAGCACAAAAAACAGGAUUUGAAAUGGAAAAUAAUAGCACCAAAUGUAUGUAUUCAAAUAAUAUCAUUUACACAGGUAUAGCCAACAGAGGAUGAGAUUAAAGAUCCAUGACAAAAUAAAGUGAAGAAAACAGAAUUAAGAAAUCCUGAUGUACAUAAAGUUAGUGUCUUCUCAAGUUUCUAAGAGAGUUCACUCUGAAAAGCCUGCAAAUGCAAAGGAGCAUUGUAAAGAUUGCAGUGAUGUGGGAUCUCUCAAAGAUACCCAGCUGUAUUAGGGUUCUCCUGCGAAAAUGGAAGAUGCAUACAUAUAAAAUGAGAUUUGGCUCACCUAAUUAUGGAGGCCCAGAAGUCCCACAGCCUGCUUUUUGCAAUCUUGGGAGAAGCAGCAAAACAGAAGGGUAAUUCAGUUUUAGUCUAAAGACCUGAGAAUGGGGGUAAGGUUUAUUUGUGUAAGUCAUAGAGUCCAAAAGCCAGAGAACAAGGAACAGCGAUAUCAGAGGGCAGGAGAAGAUGGAUGUCUCAGCUCAAAAAGAGAGCGCAAACUUGCCCCUCCUUUACAUGUUUGUUCUAUUCUGGCUCAUAAUAGAUUAGUUAAUGUUUGCCAUCAUUGGUGAAGGCAAUCUUCUUCACUCAGUCUUCAAAUACAAAUGCUAAUACCUCCCAGAAAUGCCCUCACAGAUACAUCCAGAGGUAAUAUUUUACCUGCUCUCUGGAUAUCCCUUAGCCCAGUCAAGUGGACACAUACAAUUAGCCAUCAAUGCCAUCUAUGGAACCAAAAUAGAAAUCAGUACGGAAAGAUCAGUGUGAGGCCAUCAGCUGCAAUAAGAAGGGGUAAAAGUCAUAUGCCAAAUGUCCCGGCCCCCAAACUAUGACCAAUGACGCCCUUCUCUCGAGUUGAUCAUCUACAAUAUUAGACAAUGUGGUCAUGAAUAAUAAUUUACUUGUAACAUUUUUAAAUGAAGCUAAUAUGAGAAAAUGGCCAUAAGGAUGUGAUGCACUGUUAACUCUGACAGAAUUAUAAGUUAUUUUACACCUCAAACUAGUAGCUUCUUUGUCUGUUAAUAACAUUUUACCUACUGGACACUGACAUCAUCCAGGAAUUCUUAAUUCACAUUCCAAAUCUUUUAGUAGUGACUUUCAAGUAGCAGGGUUUGUCAUGG